AAACUGCUCCCUGAGAGCGAUGCGGUCGGGGAAUUGUACCCUUGAUGGGAGCGGCAGGCAGGCUAUAACCUCUCUUGGACUAAGUUGUGCAACCUGCACAGCGCCUCCGUUCAUUCCAUAUUGCUGUCCUUGUGUAUUUAAUCGAAUAAUAUGCUUAAUUGAAAAACCUUCAGGCGCAACAAGCAAAGAGCUGCUCUCACCUCAGCAGUGACUUGGCCCGUGAGCAGCUGCAGGGCAAAAAUCCGCUCUUCCACUGAUCUGACUUCGUCACAAGCAACCUGCGCGAUUGGCAACACUUCAUCUCACAUAGUUGUCGCCCAAGUGGACCUUCAGCUUGCUACACAAUAAAAAUUCGCCCCGGUCUGAGCCUGAGGAGCCACACACCUCGAUCAAGUAGGCUGUGAAAGGGUUGUCUGUGCUACUUUGAUCUCUGUAGACAGCGCAGAACAGAUAUAGCGCUGCAAUGCGUUCCUCAAGGCUUAGAAGGCAAUGCUCUUCGACCUG
rnacentral:lncRNA from 1 species